GAAAUGCGAUAAGUAAUGUGAAUUGCAGAAUUCAGUGAAUCAUCGAAUCUUUGAACGCACAUUGCGCCCGCCAGUAUUCUGGCGGGCAUGCCUGUUCGAGCGUCAUUACAACCCUCAGGCCCCCGGGCCUGGCGUUGGGGAUCGGCGGAAGCCCCCUGCGGGCACAACGCCGUCCCCCAAAUACAGUGGCGGUCCCGCCGCAGCUUCCAUUGCGUAGUAGCUAACACCUCGCAACUGGAGAGCGGCGCGGCCACGCCGUAAACCACCCAACUUCUGAAUGUUGACCUCGAAUCAGGUAGGAAUACCCGCUGAACUUAAGC
rnacentral:misc_RNA from 1 species